rnacentral:rRNA from 1 species
GGAAGCUAAGCAGGGUCGGGACGGGUUAGUACUUGGAUGGGAGACCGCCUGAGAAUACCGGCUGCUGUAGGCG